CCUGGCUCAGAUUGAACGCUGGCGGCAUGCUUUACACAUGCAAGUCGAACGGCAGCACGGGCUUCGGCCUGGUGGCGAGUGGCGAACGGGUGAGUAAUGCAUCGGAACGUGCCCAUUUGUGGGGGAUAACUACGCGAAAGCGUGGCUAAUACCGCAUACGCCCUGAGGGGGAAAGCGGGGGAUUCUUCGGAACCUCGCGCAAUUGGAGCGGCCGAUGUCAGAUUAGCUUGUUGGUGAGGUAAAGGCUCACCAAGGCGACGAUCUGUAGCGGGUCUGAGAGGAUGAUCCGCCACACUGGGACUGAGACACGGCCCAGACUCCUACGGGAGGCAGCAGUGGGGAAUUUUGGACAAUGGGGGCAACCCUGAUCCAGCCAUGCCGCGUGAGUGAAGAAGGCCUUCGGGUUGUAAAGCUCUUUCAGCCGGGAAGAAAACGCACUCUCUAACAUAGGGUGUGGAUGACGGUACCGGACCAAGAAGCACCGGCUAACUACGUG
rnacentral:rRNA from 1 species